rnacentral:rRNA from 1 species
AUUAAACGCUGGCGGCAUGCCUUACACAUGCAAGUCGAACGGCAGCACGGGGGCAACCCUGGUGGCGAGUGGCGGACGGGUGAGUAAAGCAUCGGAACGUAUCCUGGAGUGGGGGGAUAACGUAGCGAAAGUUACGCUAAUACCGCAUAUUCUGUGAGCAGGAAAGCAGGGGAUCGCAAGACCUUGCGCUCUGGGAGCGGCCGAUGUCGGAUUAGCUAGUUGGUGGGGUAAAGGCCUACCAAGGCGACGAUCCGUAGCGGGUCUGAGAGGAUGAUCCGCCACACUGGGACUGAGACACGGCCCAGACUCCUACGGGAGGCAGCAGUGGGGAAUUUUGGACAAUGGGCGGAAGCCUGAUCCAGCCAUGCCGCGUGAGUGAAGAAGGCCUCGGUUGUAAAGCUCUUCGUCGGGAGAAGUUAGUCACGGGUUAAGUACCCUCGUGUAGAUGACGGUA